rnacentral:lncRNA from 1 species
UCUCUCUCUCUCUCUCUCUCUCCAUCUCGAACUCUAUCCUUGCCUCUUCUCCCUGCAGCCUAGACUGUGAAUCCCUUCUGGUCUCCCUUUCUCCGAUUGCAAGCCCAGUCCCCUUUGUAGCAGCUUUAGAGCGUAAAUUGUCAUGAAAAGCUUAAUGAAUCUCCAUUAUUUAUGAGAUAGGAUUAGUUGAUCGCCCAAUAUGAUGUAAGCUUGUGCCAUAUAAUUUCUUGCUUGCCGAACCUCUGAAAUUCUUUUUGAAGACGAUAUGAGAUCAGUUUAAAAUAAGUUUUUAUGUAAAAUAUAAGGGAUACUUUGACUAUUCAUAAAUAUUAGUAAUAAUUUAAAUGUGUCAAAAUUAUAUUAAUUCACACCAUAUUAUUUGUUAUUAUCUAAAUGAGAUACUUUUCUCAUUCAUUUAUUCAGGAUCAAAGUUCUGAGUGGUGGAUGUUGUGUCAUUAGUUAACAAACCUCUUUGUCACAUAGAGCUCCCUUUUUGUCCCCCAACAAGU